GCCUCAGUACGGCGAGUGAAGCGGCAACAGCUCAAAUUUGAAAUCUGGCCUCACGGUCCGAGUUGUAAUUUGUAGAGGAUGUUUUGGGUACCGCCGUGGUUUAAUUUUCUUGGAACAGGAAGCCACAGAGGGUGAGAGUCCCGUCUUGGACCGCGGUAGGACCCGUGUAAAACUCCUUCGACGAGUCGAGUUGUUUGGGAAUGCAGCUCAAAAUGGGUGGUAAAUUUCAUCUAAAGCUAAAUAUUGGCCAGAGACCGAUAGCGCACAAGUAGAGUGAUCGAAAGAUGAAAAGCACUUUGAAAAGAGAGUUAAACAGUAUGUGAAAUUGUUGAAAGGGAAGCGCAGGCAACCAGACUCGCGCGCGGGGUUCCCCCUGGCUUCUGCCUGGGUUACUUCCCCGCGUCCGGGCCAUCAUCAGUUUGGGGGGCCGGUUAAAGGCUCCGGGAAUGUAUCCUCGCCUUCGGGAGAGGACUUAUAGCCCGGGGUGUCAUGCGGCCUCCCCGGACUGAGGAACGCGCUUCGGCGAGGAUGAUGGCGUAAUGGUUGUCUGCGACCCGUCUUGAAACACGGACCAAGGAGUCUAACAUCUAUGCGAGUGUUCGGGUGUCAAACCCUUGCGCGUAAUGAAAGUGAACGGAGGUAGGAAGGCCUAAGCCUGCACUAUCGACCGAUCCUGAUGUCUUCGGAUGGAUUUGAGUAAGAGCAUAGCUGUUGGGACCCGAAAGAUGGUGAACUAUGCGUGAAUAGGGUGAAGCCAGAGGAAACUCUGGUGGAGGCUCGCAGCGGUUCUGACGUGCAAAUCGAUCGUCAAAUUUGCGUAUAGGGGCGAAAGACUAAUCGAACCAUCUGGUAGCUGGUUCCUGCCGAAGUUUCCCUCAGGAUAGCAGUAACGUUUUCAGUUUUAUGAGGUAAAGCGAAUGAUUAGAGGCCUUGGGGUUGAAACAACCUUAACCUAUUCUCAAACUUUAAAUAUGUAAGAAGUCCUUGUCACUUAGUUGGACGUGGACAUUUGAAUGUAUCGUUACUAGUGGGCCAUUUUUGGUAAGCAGAACUGGCGAUGCGGGAUGAACCGAACGCGAGGUUAAGGUGCCGGAAUACACGCUCAUCAGACACCACAAAAGGUGUCAAUGCAUCUAGACAGCCGGACGGUGGCCAUGGAAGUCGGAAUCCGCUUAGGAGUGUGUAACAACUCACCGGCCGAAUGCAUUGGCCCUGAAAAUGGAUGGCGCUUAAGCGUGUUACCCAUACCUCGCCGUCAGGGUUGAAAUGAUGCCCUGACGAGUAGGCAGGCGUGGAGGUCCGUGACGAAGCCUUGGGGGUGACCCUGGGUCGAACGGCCUCUAGUGCAGAUCU
rnacentral:rRNA from 1 species